ACGAGCGACUCCGUCAGAAGAGCAAAAGCACGGAGGAUCAGGACACAAUAAGACGCUGGAGUCUCCUGAGGACGCCUACAUGAGCCUUGAGCCCAAGUCCAGAUGUUCUGAAUACGACACACUGGAUAACAUGAAGAGAUCCUGUGAAAACACAG